rnacentral:rRNA from 1 species
CCUACGGGGGGCAGCAGUGAGGCAUAUUGGUCAAUGGGCUUACGCCUGAACCAGCCAAGUCGCGUGAGGGAAGACUGCCCUAUGGGUUGUAAACCUCUUUUGUCAGGGAGCAAUUUGCGCUACGUGUAGCGUUAUCGAGAGUACCUGAAGAAAAAGCAUCGGCUAACUACGUGCCAGCAGCCGCGGUAAUACGUAGGGGGCAAGCGUUAUCCGGAUUUACUGGGUGUAAAGGGAGCGUAGACGGUUAUGUAAGUCUGGAGUGAAAGCCCGGGGCCCAACCCCGGGACUGCUUUGGAAACUGUGGAACUGGAGUACAGGAGGGGCAGGCGGAAUUCCUGGUGUAGCGGUGAAAUGCGUAGAUAUCAGGAGGAACACCGGCGGCGAAGGCGGCCUGCUGGACUGAAACUGACGUUGAGGCUCGAAAGCGUGGGGAGCAAACAGGAUUAGAUACCCUAGUAGUC